rnacentral:rRNA from 1 species
UACAGAGGUGGCAAGCGUUGCUCGGUAUCACUGGGCUUAAAGGGCGCGUAGGCGGUGCGGUGCGGUUUCGGUGAAAUCCCUCGGCCCAACCGAGGAACAGCCGGGGCUACGGCCGCGCUAGACUGCAUCAGGGGACAGUGGAACUCCCGGUGGAGCGGUGAAAUGCGUAGAUAUCGGGAGGAACGCCGGUGGCGAAAGCGACUGUCUGGGGUGCCUGUGACGCUGAGGCGCGAAAGCCAGGGGAUCAAACGGG